UGACGCUGGCGGCAUGCCUUACACAUGCAAGUCGAGCGGCAGCGCGGGGGCAACCCUSGCGGCGAGCGGCGGACGGGUGAGUAAUGCAUCGGAACGUGUCCUCUUGUGGGGGAUAACCAGGCGAAAGACUGGCUAAUACCGCAUGAGCUCGUAAGAGGAAAGCAGGGGACCCGCAAGGGCCUUGCGCGAGAGGAGCGGCCGAUGCCCGAUUAGCUGCUUGGUGGGGUAAAAGCCCACCAAGGCGACGAUCGGUAGCUGGUCUGAGAGGACGACCAGCCACACUGGGACUGAGACACGGCCCAGACUCCUACGGGAGGCAGCAGUGGGGAAUUUUGGACAAUGGGGGAAACCCUGAUCCAGCCAUGCCGCGUGUGUGAAGAAGGCCUUCGGGUUGUAAGGCACUUUCGGACGGAACGAAAUCGGCGAGGUGAAUAUCCUCGCUGGAUGACGGUACCGUAAGAAGAAGCACCGGCUAACUACGUGCCAGCAGCCGCGGUAAUACGUAGGGUGCGAGCGUUAAUCGGAAUUACUGGGCGUAAAGUGUGCGCAGGCGGCGUUGCAAGUCGAGUGUGAAAGCCCCGGGCUUAACUUGGGAAUUGCGCUCGAAACUACCAUGCUGG
rnacentral:rRNA from 1 species